rnacentral:rRNA from 1 species
AGGACGAACGCUGGCGGCGUGCUUAACACAUGCAAGUCGAACGGAAAGGCCCUUUCGGGGGUACUCGAGUGGCGAACGGGUGAGUAACACGUGGGUGAUCUGCCCUGCACUUCGGGAUAAGCUUGGGAAACUGGGUCUAAUACCGGAUAGGACUACGGACUUCAUGGUUUGUGGUGGAAAGCUUUUGCGGUGUGGGAUGGGCCCGCGGCCUAUCAGCUUGUUGGUGGGGUGAUGGCCUACCAAGGCGACGACGGGUAGCCGGCCUGAGAGGGUGUCCGGCCACACUGGGACUGAGAUACGGCCCAGACUCCUACGGGAGACAGCAGUGGGGAAUAUUGCACAAUGGGCGCAAGCCUGAUGCAGCGACGCCGCGUGGGGGAUGACGGCCUUCGGGUUGUAAACCGUCUUUCACCAUCGGCGAAGCCGGAAGCUUUGUUUCUGGUGACGGUAGGUGGAGAAGAAGCACCGGCCAACUACGUGCCAGCAGCCGCGGUAA